rnacentral:lncRNA from 1 species
AUGUUUUAUUUGAUAUAUAUUUUUAAAGGGUGUGCCACGUGGCACAUUCUAAUUAGGCAAUGGUAUUUACCUGAAACACACCGUUUUAGUAAAUGGGAAAAAACAAAAAUAAAUAAGUAAUAAUAAUAAUAUAAUAUACAUAGAACUUUCUACACACUCACGUGGGAGAAAAAAAAAAAAAAAAAAAAAAAAACAUAACACACAUAACUUUCCCUUUCCAUUCUCCUCUCACUUCCGUUAGCUCUCUGUCCCUCAUUCCUCUUCUUCCAUUUCUUUUUCCUUCCUUUCCCAAAUCAAUCAUCCUUAAGAAUAAUUGGUCAUCUAAGUAAAGCAACUUCAUAUUCAAGCUCUAUCGGUAGAAUUUUGGGGGUUAGGGUUUGUGCUUUGAAGUAGAAGGAGAAUACCCAUAUUGUGAGAGUUGCUCAUUGAGACUCUUUGAGAUUCGGUGGAAAUUUCUCCGGUGGUCAUUCAGAAAGGCAUCACUAGGAAUUGAGUUCUUUCGUCAUAUCUAUUCAAAGUCAAUUGUGUAGAAAGCUUCUAGCAGGGUUAAGGAUCUAUCAAUGUCACUCUUUUGGUAGGUUUCCUAUGUAUAUAAAUUGAAUGGUCGAUGUAUCUGCAACUAUUGGUAGUCUAGAACUGUUCUGUUGAGUUGUACAAACAUCUAGUUAUGUUACUUUGAGAUUCUGGUUGAUAAUACAAGUUUAUAGAUAGGAUUCAUAUCUUGGAAAAUAUUCAAAGUACAGAGGAUACUCUGUUGAAAUU